GCUUUCCAAGGAACAAGCACCUUGUCUGGAUUUGAAAUAGAGCAGAUCUAGAGAGUUCAUACUCUUCUGUUACAGCACCACUAUGCUAGAACAUUAUCAAGCAUAUUAUUAGUACAUUUUCUGACCUCUUUACACCUACAGAUUACUCCAGUGGAGAGGACUCCGAGGCAGAAGUAAGGUACAGCUUCACCUCAGGAGCCUGAUCCUGCAGCUCUCAGUCAGGAGCGGGGAUCUGGCCUGAGCAAUCCUGCAGGCUCUGACUGGGCAGCUAUGGUUAUGCAGAGCUGUUCGCAUGCGAGAAGCUGUAGGAUGAGGUUUUAAAGCAUCUGAUGUGGUCCCUAGAAAGCAAUGCACACCUAAAAAUGAUGCAGCUAAUCAUCAAAACAUACAUACCCAGGAAAAGACAAGCCUGCUUCUCUGAAAUUCCAGCAGAGACAGAGCAACAAAACCGUUAGUGGCAUCUCAUGGUAUUCCUUUAAGCAUACAGUAAUGCUGGUCAUUUAAACCCUUGUAAGUGCUUUGUUGAACCUGUGUCUGGUUUAGCUUAUUUACAUGGAUCCCAUUUUGGCUUCAGUUUCAGUGCACUGUGCAGCUUCCCUUUCCUAUGUGUGGUAAAAGUGAUUCAACACCAACUGAUGGGAAAGAAAUGCAGAGGUGUCACUUCUGCUGUAAGCAGCAGUGAUAGAGCUAGCAGCAUUCAUAGAUAGAGUCUUACAAGGUGUUUACUGCAGCUUUUUUAUUUGGGAGCAACUUUAUUAGAUUAUAUAAAUGAAGAUUUCCUGCUGGAAUAAGGAGGAAAGGAAGAAACCUUACCAACACUAGCCAGGCACACUUUGUACAGACUGUACGGUGUCAUUACCAUUUAAAAACAUCGAAUAAA